rnacentral:rRNA from 1 species
CCUACGGGAGGCAGCAGUGGGGAAUAUUGGACAAUGGGCGAAAGCCUGAUCCAGCAAUGCCGCGUGAGUGAUGAAGGCCUUAGGGUUGUAAAGCUCUUUUACCAGGGAUGAUAAUGACAGUACCUGGAGAAUAAGCUCCGGCUAACUCCGUGCCAGCAGCCGCGGUAAUACGGGGGGAGCUAGCGUUGUUCGGAAUUACUGGGCGUAAAGCGUACGUAGGCGGUUAUUCAAGUCAGAGGUGAAAGCCUGGAGCUCAACUCCAGAACUGCCUUUGAAACUAGAUAGCUAGAAUCUUGGAGAGGUGAGUGGAAUUCCGAGUGUAGAGGUGAAAUUCGUAGAUAUUCGGAAGAACACCAGUGGCGAAGGCGACUCACUGGACAAGUAUUGACGCUGAGGUACGAAAGCGUGGGGAGCAAACAGGAUUAGAUACCCUGGUAGUCCACGCCGUAAACGAUGAUAACUAGCUGUUCGGGCUCUACGAGCUUGAGUGGCGCAGCUAACGCAUUAAGUUAUCCGCCUGGGGAGUACGGUCGCAAGNUUAAAACUCAAAGGAAUUGACGG